AUUGCCCUAGUAACGGCGAGUGAAGCGGCAACAGCUCAAAUUUGAAAUCUGGCCUUCGGGUCCGAAUUGUAAUUUGUAGAGGAUGCUUUUGGUGAGGUACCUUCCGAGUUCCCUGGAACGGGACGCCAUAGAGGGUGAGAGCCCCGUCUGGUUGGAUACCGAUCCUCUGUAAAGCUCCUUCGACGAGUCGAGUAGUUUGGGAAUGCUGCUCUAAAUGGGAGGUAUAUGUCUUCUAAAGCUAAAUAUUGGCCAGAGACCGAUAGCGCACAAGUAGAGUGAUCGAAAGAUGAAAAGCACUUUGAAAAGAGAGUUAAAAAGUACGUGAAAUUGUUGAAAGGGAAGCGCUCAUGACCAGACUUGGGCUUGGUUGAUCAUCCAGGGUUCUCCCUGGUGCACUCUUCCAGCCCAGGCCAGCAUCAGUUCGCUGUGGGGGAUAAAGGCUUUGGGAAUGUGGCUCCUCCGGGAGUGUUAUAGCCCAUUGUGUAAUACCCUGUGGUGGACUGAGGUUCGCGCAUCUGCAAGGAUGCUGGCGUAAUGGUCAUCAGCGACCCGUCUUGAAACACGGACCAAGGAGUCGUCUUCGUAUGCGAGUGUUCGGGUGUUAAACCCCUACGCGUAAUGAAAGUGAACGCAGGUGAGAGCUUCGGCGCAUCAUCGACCGAUCCUGAUGUUCUCGGAUGGAUUUGAGUAAGAGCAUACGGGGCCGGACCCGAAAGAAGGUGAACUAUGCCUGUAUAGGGUGAAGCCAGAGGAAACUCUGGUGGAGGCUCGCAGCGGUUCUGACGUGCAAAUCGAUCGUCAAAUAUGGGCAUGGGGGCGAAAGACUAAU
rnacentral:rRNA from 1 species